UUCCCCUUCGGGGGACAAAGUGACAGGUGGUGCAUGGUUGUCGUCAGCUCGUGUCGUGAGAUGUUGGGUUAAGUCCCGCAACGAGCGCAACCCUUAAGCUUAGUUGCCAUCAUUAAGUUGGGCACUCUAAGUUGACUGCCGGUGACAAACCGGAGGAAGGUGGGGAUGACGUCAAAUCAUCAUGCCCCUUAUGAUUUGGGCUACACACGUGCUACAAUGGACAAUACAAAGGGCAGCGAAACCGUGAGGUCAAGCAAAUCCCAUAAAGUUGUUCUCAGUUCGGAUUGUAGUCUGCAACUCGACUACAUGAAGCUGGAAUCGCUAGUAAUCGUAGAUCAGCAUGCUACGGUGAAUACGUUCCCGGGUCUUGUACACACCGCCCGUCACACCACGAGAGUUUGUAACACCCGAAGCCGGUGGAGUAACCUUUUAGGAGCAAGCCGUCGAAGGUGGGACAAAUGAUUGGGGUGAAGUCGUAACAAGGUAGCCGUAUCGGAAGGUGCGGCUGGAUCACCUCCUUU
rnacentral:rRNA from 1 species